GGUUGUGGCUCAGUGGUAGAGUGCUUGCCUAGCAUGUGUGAGGCACUGGGUUUAAUCCCCAGCACCA
rnacentral:tRNA from 1 species